AAUGAACGCUGGCGGCAGGCCUAACACAUGCAAGUCGAACGGAUCCUUCGGGAUUAGUGGCGGACGGGUGAGUAACGCGUGGGAACAUACCCUUUGGUACGGAAUAGCCUCUGGGAACUGGGAGUAAUACCGUAUGUGGUCGAGAGACGACGGGUUUAUCGCCAAAGGAUUGGCCCGCGUUGGAUUAGGAAGUUGGUGGGGUAAUGGCCUACCAAGCCGACGAUCCAUAGCUGGUUUGAGAGGAUGAUCAGCCAAACUGGGACUGAGACACGGCCCAGACUCCGACGGGAGGCAGCAGUGGGGAAUCUUAGACAAUGGGGGAAACCCUGAUCUAGCCAUGCCGCGUGAUCGAUGAAGGCCUUAGGGUUGUAAAGAUCUUUCAGGUGGGAAGAUAAUGACUGUACCACCAGAAGAAGCCCCGGCUAACUCCGUGCCAGCAGCCGCUGUAAUAC
rnacentral:rRNA from 1 species